AGAGUGAACGCUGGCGGUAGGCCUAACACAUGCAAGUCGAACGGCAGCACAGUAGGAGCUUGCUCUUACGGGUGGCGAGUGGCGGACGGGUGAGGAAUACAUCGGAAUCUACCUUUUGGUGGGGGAUAACGUAGGGAAACUUACGCUAAUACCGCAUACGCCCUUCGGGGGAAAGCCGGGGACCAGCAAUGGCCUGGUGCUGAUAGAUGAGCCGAUGUCGGAUUAGCUAGUUGGUGAGGUAAUGGCUCACCAAGGCGACGAUCCGUAGCUGGUCUGAGAGGAUGAUC
rnacentral:rRNA from 1 species